CCUACGGGAGGCAGCAGUGAGGAAUUUUGGGCAAUGGGCGCAAGCCUGACCCAGCGACGCCGCGUGGAGGAUGAAGGCCUUCGGGUCGUAAACUCCUGUUCUGAGGGAAGAAAACGGGAUGAGCGAAUAACUCAUUCCGCUGACGGUACCUCAGGAGUAAGCUCCGGCUAAUUACGUGC
rnacentral:rRNA from 1 species